AAGACUCCAUAUGGGGAUGAUGGCCUUGCCACAUUGUAGGCGCUUCGUAUUCAUGGCAAAGAGCCAUAUCUAAACUUCUAACAUUUUCCUUUAGAUUAUUAUAGGACAGACCUUGACCGGGAGAUCCUCAUCUCUCGGAUUGUUUGAUUAGCGUCCCAUGUUAUGUUCAAACUUCACAUAAUAUUAGAUCCACUUAAAGAAAAGUAGUACUACUCUCCAAUAAUAUGUUUAUUCAUGCUCUGAACCAAAAGAACUGAUGCUUGAAGCCACUGUCAUUCUUUCUUCUAUAUCUUUGCCGUCUAGGCACUCUUUAUUAUUCUCGGUUCUUCCAUUUAUGCUUAUUGUAAAACAUAAUUGGGAUGAGCAGGUUUAUGUGAAAUUCAGUGCCCUUUUCCACAAGUUGAAAAAAAUUUAAACAUAGAUCUUGAUCAAAAAUGCUACUUGGGAGUAGGAAUGUAUUCACUCUCUCAAAAGUUAAUUCAGUAGGCAUCAUGCACGUUUGAGCACAUUUAUCUAAUUUAAGAUAGAUGGAAUCUCCAAAUCAAACGUCCAUGCUAUUGAUCUUCAUGUUAAUUUGUUUUCCUUGUUCAUAGCUAGCAUGAUUUCAUAAAGCUCCAGAGAUAUUGCAGAGUUCAGAAGGUCUGGAUGUUCUUCAGGUAUGACGUUAGUUAAUAUCAACGAACAAGCAAACCAAGGAUGCUCUUAAAGCAACAGACAUCCUCCUUUUUUCACAAGUCUGUUACACCAUACAAAUUUUUUUUCUAAAUUUUUUGUAAGAUUACAUAUGUUCAUUUAUUUAUUUUAUCUAUUUACCUAUUAAUUUGAAUAAAAAAUAUAUAUUCACUUUUGAAUAGAUAUUAAAAAUAUUAGAAGGGUGAAUUUAUUACAUAAUAUUCAAUGAAUUUUUAAAAUAUAAUUUUACCAAACAACACUUACGUUAAUGCUCAUUUGAAAUAUAGUUUGUUUACCAAAUAUUCAAAGUAUUUCACAAUGCAUUCACUCAAAUCUCUUUCUCCAAAUGGACAUACAAAUGUAAAUGUGUUUCCAAAUGCACCAUAUAAUCAUCUUAACCUUUUUUGCUUCCCCAAUAAAUAUGUCAUAACUAAUUUCCCAUUUUAUUAUUAUUUUUUCUUCCUAAUCUUAUAUGCCCUCAUAAGGAAUAUGCUUUAACAAUUAAAAUAUUUCCUACUUUUGAACAUUCUGAUAAAAAUAACCUAAUUACUUUAUAUUAAAAAUAAAAAACUUAAAAUGGAAUUAUACGUCCCUACCUUAUUAUAAAUCCACAUCCCCUUUACAAUCCCGAGAGUGGACUCCCUUUCUCAUCUUAAACUUGGCUAACAGGGAUUUGACCACGAGGGAGGAUUCUUGUUCUUAACCUCAGCUUUAAAAUGUAUGUUCUCCACCUUUUUCUUUUAGUCUAAAUUUUAAAAUAUUUGAUUGAUUUCUAGUUGUUUAAUAUUUCAUAAAAUUUUGAUAUUGAUUAAUGUUGGAUUUUUAAUUUAAAAGAAGAAUUAUGCAGAGUUGUUAAUGUUAAUUUAAUUUUUUUUUAAAAUUUUGUAUCAAAUUAAAUUAGUUUUUACUGUUAAUUUAAUUAUUUUGAAUUAUAACAUAAAAUUCAAUAAACACAAGAAAAAGUAAAUCAUAUUUGAAGAUUUUCAUAUUUUCAAAUCACUCUUAACAAUACUCAAUGCAGUCUCAUGCAACACAGCCCAUAACUGUUUGGAAUCACCAUUGUACUGGGUCUCUCAUGCCACAUACAAAGUAUAAUCUAUCAUGAUAUCUUUGACAUGUCUACAUCUCUUUGAAUGUAUGUAUGGAUGAAUGAAAUUACAAAUGAUUGGACGUUGUUUCAUAUAAGCCAUAUUAGUAGGGUGAUUUCAUUAGAAGAUUACCAGACUAUCAAACAAGAUGGUUAGACGAUUUCUCCAUUCGUUACUAGUUGUUAUUAGGAAAAAUUUAUCACCACCUUGAUGGGGUAGUAUAUCAUUUUGUUUGCUAUUGGGAGUACGAUAUGAGUUAUCCGUUGUUGUUGAGAGAAUAAAGGACUUAUGCCAAAGAGAAAAACCUCUCCGCCCAUUGUUGCACAAGUGCAACAUCAGGUAUUCGAUCUAUUACAAUGUGAUAAUAAACAUGUUAUCCGCAUGAUAAUUUUAUAUGUUUGAUCUAUUUUGUUAGGAUUCAUGCAUGACUUUGUUUAAAUUGAUUUGAGAUUACUUGUUUAUU
rnacentral:lncRNA from 1 species